GACGAACGCUGGCGGCGUGCUUAACACAUGCAAGUCGAACGGAAAGGCCCUGCUUUUGUGGGGUGCUCGAGUGGCGAACGGGUGAGUAACACGUGAGUAACCUGCCCUUGACUUUGGGAUAACUUCAGGAAACUGGGGCUAAUACCGGAUAGGAGCUCCUGCUGCAUGGUGGGGGUUGGAAAGUUUCGGCGGUUGGGGAUGGACUCGCGGCUUAUCAGCUUGUUGGUGGGGUAGUGGCUUACCAAGGCUUUGACGGGUAGCCGGCCUGAGAGGGUGACCGGCCACAAUGGGACUGAGAUACGGACCAGACUCCUACGGGAGGCAGCAGGGGGGAAUAUUGCACAAUGGGCGGAAGCCUGAUGCAGCAACGCCGCGUGCGGGAUGACGGCCUUCGGGUUGUAAACCGCUUUCGCAUGUGACGAAGCGUGAGUGACGGUAAUGGGUAAAGAAGCACCGGCUAACUACGUG
rnacentral:rRNA from 1 species